rnacentral:rRNA from 1 species
GUAGCGAGUGCGAAAUUAAUGCGACACGCAACACGUGAGUCAUCGAGUUUUUGAACGCAUAUUGCACCCGACGGGUUUACUUGUCGGGUCUGCCUGUCUGAGUAUUAAUACGGACCCAAUUUAAUUAAUAAUUUUGUUAUUAUUACAUUAAGUUGGAGCUCAUUAAUGGUACAUUUGUAUUAUUGAUGGAUUUGAAUGUUCAACUGAUGUGUUAAUUUAUUAAUAUAUAUAUAGUUGAUCGUUUGAAAUGUAUUGGUUAAUUAAUCGAUUGUUAAUGAUUGCCAAACGCUAUUAAAGCAUUGUUAAUCAUCUUUUACUAGAUGUUCAUUGCUUGUAUUAAGUGAAUGGGACCACAACAUUAGCCAUUUAAUUUAUUAAAUGAUGAUUAAACCACUUGCAUAACUGUUUAUUAUUAUUAAUAGUAGUGAAUAGUUAUACACCUUACUCAAACCAUCUUAAUCUCAGAUCAGGCAGGAUGACCCGCUGAACUUAAGCAUAUCAGUAAGCGGAGGAAAAGAAACUAACCAGGAUUCCCUUAGUAACGGCGAGUGAAGCGGGAAUAGCCCAAUCUGAAAAGCUAGUCAGCCCUGGAGCUGGUCUCGCAUUGUAGGUUGAUGAAUCGUUUCCUAGUGUUAAACCUUUCAAUUAAAGUUCCUUGGAACAGGACAUCAAAGAGGGUGAUAAUCCCGUGAUUAAUUGAAUGACAUACCAGUUUAAUGCGUCUAUGGAGCGUUUUCUUAGAGUCGGAAUGUUUGGGAUUGCAUUCCAAAGUGGGUGGUAAACUCCAUCUAAGGCUAAAUACUGGCGAGAGACCGAUAGCGAACAAGUACCGUGAGGGAAAGUUGAAAAGCACUCUGGAGAGAGAGUCAAACAGUACGUGAAAUUGCUAGCAGGGAAACGUUGGAUACCAGUACACGGCAAUUAAUGUCAAUGAUCAGUUAAUGUAUUGUUUAUUUGUGAUGUGGUGUUUACUUUGGAGAUCGUCUCACGGCGACUCACAUAUCAUAAAUGAAUAAUGUAUUGGUGCACUCAUUGGCAGCCGGGUCAACAUCAGUUAAUGACGUUCGAUAAGUUAUUAGACAAGGUAUCAUUAGUAAGUUUACUUACUUUUGAACUUAUAGGUCUGAUGUACGAGGAUGUUAUUGACUGAGGAUAGUCGAUUCGUGCGUUUCGGCGCAGGGCGUACUGGCUAGAUCAAGGCAGCCCGUGGCGUUAAGCAGCAUGCUGAUUAACGUUCAUUUUAUCAUAUUUAUAUGGUAGUGGCGGUCGUUUAGCUAGUACAAGCCACUAGCGAGUCAAUGA